rnacentral:rRNA from 1 species
AACAAACGCUGGCGGCGUGCCUAAUACAUGCAAGUCGAACGGGGAAAGCUUUCGGGUGAGUACUAGUGGCGCACGGGUGAGUAACGCGUGGAUAAUCUGCCUUAGAGUGGGGGAUAACUAGUCGAAAGAUUAGCUAAUACCGCAUAAGACCACAAGAACUGCGGUUCAAGGGGUCAAAGGUUUUUCGCUCUAAGAUGAGUCCGCGUAAGAUUAGCUAGUUGGUGAGGUAAUGGCUCACCAAGGCGACGAUCUUUAACUGGUCUGAGAGGAUGAUCAGUCACACUGGAACUGAGACACGGUCCAGACUCCUACGGGAGGCAGCAGUAGGGAAUAUUGCACAAUGGAGGAAACUCUGAUGCAGCGACGCCGCGUGAGUGGUGAAGGCCUUCGGGUCGUAAAGCUCUGUCGCAAGGGAAUAACACAAUGAAUGUACCUUGCAAGAAAGGAUCGGCUAACUUCGUGCCAGCAGCCGUGGUAAUAC